rnacentral:rRNA from 1 species
AUUGAACGCUGGCGGAAUGCUUUACACAUGCAAGUCGAACGGCAGCACGGGGGCAACCCUGGUGGCGAGUGGCGAACGGGUGAGUAAUACAUCGGAACGUGCCCAGUCGUGGGGGAUAACGUAGCGAAAGUUACGCUAAUACCGCAUACGAUCUACGGAUGAAAGCGGGGGACCGUAAGGCCUCGCGCGAUGGGAGCGGCCGAUGUCAGAUUAGGUAGUUGGUGAGGUAAAGGCUCAUCAAGCCGACGAUCUGUAGCUGGUCUGAGAGGACGACCAGCCACACUGGGACUGAGACACGGCCAAGACUCCUACGGGAGGCAGCAGUGGGGAAUUUUGGACAAUGGGCGCAAGCCUGAUCCAGCCAUUCCGCGUGCAGGACGAAGGCCUUCGGGUUGUAAACUGCUUUUGUACGGAACGAAAAGGCUCUGGUUAAUACCUGGGGCUCAUGACGGUACCGUAAGAAUAAGCACCGGCUAACUACGUGCCAGCCGCCGCCGUA